rnacentral:rRNA from 1 species
GACGAACGCUGGCGGCGUGCUUAACACAUGCAAGUCGAACGCUGAAGCUCAGCUUUUGUUGGGUGGAUGAGUGGCGAACGGGUGAGUAACACGUGAGUAACCUGCCCCCUUCUUUGGGAUAACGCCCGGAAACGGGUGCUAAUACUGGAUAUUCACUGGUCUUCGCAUGGGGGUUGGUGUAAAGGGUUUUUCUGGUGGGGGAUGGGCUCGCGGCCUAUCAGCUUGUUGGUGGGGUGAUGGCCUACCAAGGCUUUGACGGGUAGCCGGCCUGAGCGGGUGACCGGUAACAUUGGGACUGAGAUAAGGCCCAGACUACUACGGGGGGCAGCAGUGGGGAAUAUUGCACAAUGGGUGCAAGACUGAUGCAGCGACGCUGCGUGAGGGAUGGAGGUCUUAGGGUUGUGAAACUAUUUAGCUAAUGGUCAAGCCGCAACAAUGGUUGUGGUGAGGGUAGUGGGUAAAGAAGCGCCGGCUAACUACGUG